rnacentral:rRNA from 1 species
AUUGAACGCUGGCGGCAUGCCUUACACAUGCAAGUCGAACGGUAACAGGUCUUCGGAUGCUGACGAGUGGCGAACGGGUGAGUAAUACAUCGGAACGUGCCCGAGAGUGGGGGAUAACGAAGCGAAAGCUUUGCUAAUACCGCAUACGAUCUCAGGAUGAAAGCAGGGGACCGCAAGGCCUUGCGCUCACGGAGCGGCCGAUGGCAGAUUAGGUAGUUGGUGGGAUAAAAGCUUACCAAGCCGACGAUCUGUAGCUGGUCUGAGAGGACGACCAGCCACACUGGGACUGAGACACGGCCCAGACUCCUACGGGAGGCAGCAGUGGGGAAUUUUGGACAAUGGGCGCAAGCCUGAUCCAGCCAUGCCGCGUGCAGGAUGAAGGCCUUCGGGUUGUAAACUGCUUUUGUACGGAACGAAAAGACUCCUUCUAAUAAAGGGGGUCCAUGACGGUACCGUAAGAAUAAGCACCGGCUAACUACGUGCCAGCCGCCGCCGUAACAC